rnacentral:sRNA from 1 species
CAAUCAAAUUAAAUUGGUUGAUAGCUGUUAAGGUUUGUGGUUUUGUCUUUGUGCUAUCGCACAUAAAGUAUAUAAUUAAAGUAG